rnacentral:rRNA from 1 species
AUUGAACGCUGGCGGCAGGCCUAACACAUGCAAGUCGAACGAGUGGCGGACGGGUGAGUAAUGUCUGGGAAACUGCCCGAUGGAGGGGGAUAACUACUGGAAACGGUAGCUAAUACCGCAUACCAUCGGAUGUGCCCAUAUGGGAUUAGCUAGUAGGUGGGGUAACGGCUCACCUAGGCGACGAUCCCUAGCUGGUCUGAGAGGAUGAUCAGCCACACGGGGACUGAGACACGGUCCAGACUCCUACGGGAGGCAGCAGUGGGGAAUAUUGCACAAUGGGCGCAAGCCUGAUGCAGCCAUGCCGCGUGUAUGAAGAAGGCCUUCGGGUUGUAAAGUACUUUCAGUGAGGAGGCGUUACUGGCAGAAGAAGCACCGGCUAACUCCGUGCCAGCAGCCGCGGUAAUUC